UGCUAUCUAUUGCUAACUUAAAAUUUAAUAUUAAAAUUACAAAUAGAUAUAUUAUAAAAAAGAUUUAUAUUAUAAAAUAACAAAAUCAAUAACGUCAAACAAUUAUUGAUCAUACAAUAUCCAAUCAUAUAAGCCAAGCAGGCAACAAUUAUAUAAGUUGACAAGAUCUCAAACAUUUUUACUAUAUUCAAUAACAGGUUAGGUUAAGCGAUUGCUCAUCUGAGAAGUAGAAUUUCGACGAAAAUUACGAAAUCACAUCCUUGAAAAUUCCACCAUCACAACUCACAAACCUGAAAUAAAAAUUUAAGAUCAAACACCAAUACAAAUAUACAAUUCUAUUCCCUUAAUUUAUUCAUCAUAAAUUCAGAAUCCUAUUGCAAAUUGCUAUAAGUCUAGAACCAUAAACUUUAAGCAAAAUCCACAAAAAUAAAAUAAAAUCAUACCACUAUAAUCAAAGACUGUAAGCGUAAUUACAUACUUAGACAAGGCACAAAAAUGUAAUUGAUAAACUUUUUUCAAGUGAAAUGUAUCCAAAAUUUGAGAUAAUAACAUCUCUCCGAAGAUUAUAAAAAUGGUCAUUUAUGCAAGUAUACAGAUAUAUUUAUUUCAUGAAAAUACAAGAUUCAACCAAAUCAAAGGUAGAAAAAAAUUAAAACAUAGACUCUUUAGCAAAAAUCGAGAAAAGAUUUAAGAUAUUUAAUGAAAUGAAAUAUGUUAUUUGAUAUAUAUGUUAGUUUACACGUGUUUUAUAGAAAAAUCAGAGGAUUUACCAAACGUAUAUGAAGGUAGAGAUAUGAAAUUUAAGCAAAAUCCAAAAAAUAUAAGAGAUCUUACCACUGAAAUUGGAGACUUUAGACACGAAAACUGUGUGAAAAACCAAGGAAAGUCAAAUUUGAAACUUGGAAGUCCAACCAUCAGAAGAGAGCAAAAAUGACCAAAUCAAGCAAAAAGAAGACAAUCAGCAAGAUUAGAACAAGAAAAGAAUACAUCAAUAAAAAUCGAAGGUAAGAAAUCAUUUGGGAACCCUAUCCUGGUCGCCGACUGCCGUCCGGUUGGAGUUAGAGCCGCUUAGAGGCUAGAGAUGGGAGGAGCAAUUGCAGGACAAAAUCAGAGGGGAAGAACGAAUGGAGAAUACCCUU
rnacentral:lncRNA from 1 species